UAACACGUGAGCAACCUGCCUUUCAGAGGGGGAUAACAGUUGGAAACGACUGCUAAUACCGCAUGACAUUAGGGGAGGGCAUCCUCUUCUAAUCAAAGGAGCAAUCCGCUGAAAGAUGGGCUCGCGGCCGAUUAGCUGGAUGGCGGGGUAGAGGCCCACCAUGGCGACGAUCGGUAGCCGGACUGAGAGGUUGAACGGCCACAUUGGGACUGAGACACGGCCCAGACUCCUACGGGAGGCAGCAG
rnacentral:rRNA from 1 species